rnacentral:rRNA from 1 species
UACGUAGGGUGUAAGCGUUAAUCGGAAUUACUGGGCGUAAAGCGUGCGCAGGCGGUGAUGUAAGACAGUUGUGAAAUCCCCGGGCUCAACCUGGGAACUGCAUUUGUGACUGCAUGGCUGGAGUGCGGCAGAGGGGGAUGGAAUUCCGCGUGUAGCAGUGAAAUGCGUAGAUAUGCGGAGGAACACCGAUGGCGAAGGCAAUCCCCUGGGCCUGCACUGACGCUCAUGCACGAAAGCGUGGGGAGCAAACAGG